GAUUAUCAUAAGGAAGAGUGGCACUUUAGGAUGUGAGUCUAGAAUUUCCCACAAGAUAAAAUAAGUUUAAAACUAGCAAUUUCCUGCAAUUGAACCGUAAUCCUAAGGUGGUAGCCAAAUAAGUUUAGAGUGUCCUCUCAUACCUUAGGAUAUAUCCUUUGGUCGUUCAUGAAUAUUUUCCUUGCUUUACUCCUUUGUCUAGGUUCGUUUUCUUGUUCUCCCAAAUCUAGGGCCGUAUCUGCUGCUUCUUUUACCUGAAUUGGUACCUGAGAGGCAGAAGGAAGAAGCGAAGAGGCACGGGGCUUGGCUCGUUUAUGGAGCGUUGAUGGUCGCAGCGGGUCGAUGCCUAUAUGAACGGCUUAAAACAUCUGAGGCUCUGCGGUCUCCUCCAGCUAGCUCUGUCUGGAAGACAAAUGGAAAGGUCACCAAUGCCCGGCAAAGUAAACGCAAAGCAAGUACUGACAACUUAACUCAUCAACCACCACUGAAGAAGAUAGCAGUAGGUGGAAUUAUGCAAAUGAGCUCCACACAGAUGCAGAUGAACGGAGGCACAACAAUCCCACAACAGUCGCUAGUUGGAAGGGACAUUGCUCGGAGGACUUCAGCUACUAUGGACACUACCGUUGACAACUAUCUCCAUCCUCUUUUUGAGUAUUUUGGUGAGAGCAUGCUUAUGUUCACCCCCAAACAUGAACUCAGUUUCUUCUUGUAACAAUUUAUUAACAUGCAAGUGUUUUGUACCACAAAUAAUUCAUAUAUAAUAAUUGGAAAUAUUUUGGAGAGGUAGAA